rnacentral:rRNA from 1 species
UACGAAGGGUGCAAGCGUUACUCGGAAUUACUGGGCGUAAAGCGUGCGUAGGUGGCUUGUUAAGUCUGUCGUGAAAGCCCCGGGCUCAACCUGGGAAUGGCGAUGGAUACUGGCGAGCUAGAGUACGGUAGAGGAGAGUGGAAUUCCCGGUGUAGCAGUGAAAUGCGUAGAGAUCGGGAGGAACAUCAGUUGCGAAGGCGGCUCUCUGGACCAGUACUGACGCUGAGGCACGAAAGCGUGGGGAGCAAACAGG